GAAACUCGCCUACAUGAAGCUGGAGUUGCUAGUAAUCGCGAAUCAGCAUGUCGCGGUGAAUACGUUCCCGGGCCUUGUACACACCGCCCGUCACACCAUGAGAGUUGGCAAUACCCAACGUACGUGAUCUAACCCGCAAGGGAGGAAGCGUCCUAAGGUAGGGUCAGCGAUUGGGGUGAAGUCGUAACAAGGUAAC
rnacentral:rRNA from 1 species